rnacentral:rRNA from 1 species
GCAGGCGCGAAACCUUUACACUGCACGACAGUGCGAUAGGGGGAUCCCAAGUGCACAGGCAUAGCGCCUGUGCUUUUCGGUACCCUAAGGCGGUACCAGAAUAAGGGCUGGGCAAGACCGGUGCCAGCCGCCGCGGUAAUACCGGCAGCCMAAGUGAUGGCCGAUCUUAUUGGGCCUAAAGCGUCCGUAGCUGGCCGUACAAGUCCAUCGGGAAAUCCACCUGCUCAACAGGUGGGCGCCCGGUAGAAACUGUGCGGCUUGGGACCGGAAGGCGCGACGGGUACGUCCGGGGUAGGAGUGAAAUCCCGUAAUCCUGGACGGACCGCCGAUGGCGAAAGCACGUCGCGAGAACGGAUCCGACAGUGAGGGACGGAAGCCAGGGUCUCGAACCGGAUUAGAUACCCGGGUAGUCCUGGCCGUAAACAAUGUCUGCUAGGUGUGGCUCCCACUACGAGUGGGUGCUGUGCCGUAGGGAAGCCGYUAAGCASACCGYYUGGGAAGUACGUMCGCAAGGAUGAAACUUARAGGAAUUGGCGGGGGAGCACUACAACCGGAGGGGCCUGCGGUUUAAUUGGAUUCAACGCCGG